UACUUCGCGCCCGUGGGGAUGCCCUUUCCACCUCCGCGAUCGCCCUGGAUCCCUCCCAAUUCGGCCGGCAUCCUUGGCCCUCGCCCCGGCGCCCCCACCCAUGCAUAUCCGGUGAUGCAGCACCCCACUCCGCCCGUCCUCUACUCCGGCACGCCACCCUCCUGGGACACCGCGGCGAUGUAUCAUGCUGCGCCAAGCUAUGGGGCGGCCUUCCCGCCUCACGCCGACUGGAUCAUGGAUACAGGCGCCUCUUCCCACAUCACCGGGGACCCAGGAUCUUCGAACCAAGGCGGUCCUUCUGAGGUGCAAUAGCUCUGGUGACCUCUACCGCUUCUCCGGCGGCCGUGGCGACACUCCUCCGGUGGCCUUUACCGUUUCUCCGUCGGAUCUUUGGCAUAAAAGGCUCGGGCACCCGAGCUCCUCUUCCUUAGUUUAUUUUCCCUUUGAUUUUUCCCCAACAUGUAAUAAAGUUCCACCGUCACCAUUAUGUACCGCUUGCCAAUUGGGCAAACAUGCACGCCUACCCUUCCCCACCUCUUCCUCCUAUACCACUGCACCUUUUCAACUGUUGCAUUGUGACUUGUGGACCUCUCCAAUAGUUAGUUUUUCGGGUUACAAAUA